rnacentral:tRNA from 1 species
GGGGAUGUAGCUCAGUGGUAGAGCUCUUGUCUUACAUGCACAUGGUCCUGGGUUCAAUCCUCAGCACCA